GACGAACGCUGGCGGCGUGCCUAAUACAUGCAAGUCGAACGCUGAAGAGAGGAGCUUGCUCUUCUUGGAUGAGUUGCGAACGGGUGAGUAACGCGUAGGUAACCUGCCUUGUAGCGGGGGAUAACUAUUGGAAACGAUAGCUAAUACCGCAUAACAAUGGAUGACCCAUGUCAUUUAUUUGAAAGGGGCAAAUGCUCCACUACAAGAUGGACCUGCGUUGUAUUAGCUAGUAGGUGAGGUAACGGCUCACCUAGGCGACGAUACAUAGCCGACCUGAGAGGGUGAUCGGCCACACUGGGACUGAGACACGGCCCAGACUCCUACGGGAGGCAGCAGUAGGGAAUCUUCGGCAAUGGGGGCAACCCUGACCGAGCAACGCCGCGUGAGUGAAGAAGGUUUUCGGAUCGUAAAGCUCUGUUGUAAGUCAAGAACGAGUGUGAGAGUGGAAAGUUCACACUGUGACGGUAGCUUACCAGAAAGGGACGGCUAACUACGUG
rnacentral:rRNA from 1 species